rnacentral:rRNA from 1 species
UAGGGGGCAAGCGUUAUCCGGAUUUACUGGGUGUAAAGGGAGCGUAGACGGCAGCGCAAGUCUGGAGUGAAAUCCCGGGGCCCAACCCCGGAUCUGCUUUGGAAACUGUGCAGCUUGAGUGCAGGAGGGGUAAGCGGAAUUCCUAGUGUAGCGGUGAAAUGCGUAGAUAUUAGGAGAAACACCAGUGGCGAAGGCGGCUUACUGGACUGCAACUGACGUUGAGGCUCGAAAGCGUGGGGAGCAAA